rnacentral:rRNA from 1 species
UACCCGCUGAACUUAAGCAUAUCAAUAAGCGGAGGAAA